UGUAUGUAGCUCAGUGGUAGAGUACUUGCCUAGCAUGCACAUGGCUCUGGGUUUGACCCCCAGCACUGCAA
rnacentral:tRNA from 1 species